GUUGCAACACUAGACAUUUGCAUCAGCAUCUUCAAGAGUGUUCAGUGCAGCCACCAGUGAAAUGCCCGAUACCGGUCGUGGUGGGGGAAAGGACACUGAACUGGUCUGAGCAGCUGGGUGAUCCAGUGAGGCAGUCCUUAUGCUGAAAGAGCAUUCCCCAUGGCUACACACACAGACAUCAGAUUUAAAAAUAACCAAGUUCCACCUCGACUGUGGGGGAGUGAAAGACAGAAGACAGAUGCAUUGGCUGCCAGCUAAUCUUGACAUCCACUUUUUCUUUCCUCACCCUGGCAGCCAGCAGUUGCAGACACAUGUACAGGUUGUUCCCGCCAGCAUCCUCAAGGCUCGUGACCAGAUAUUAAAGCAGCUUCAAUCCCACUGCCUAGAUAAAGCAAACAUGACUGGUGGAAAACAAAAAAUAUCACCCAAAUGUCCAAGGGAACCACAAACAGAGCUGCUGAUCUAUACCCAGCACAGAUUUUUCAAAAGGACACGGAUUUUCAUGGCUCAGCGUUCUAAUUUGUUUGACCAUUUAUUUCCAAGGAGCACAUCCAAGAGUGACAAGCUCCAUUUAUUUCAAUGGGCAGCAUAUGCCAGCAACUUGAAUGGCGUAUGCUAUAAAAGAGAAUGGAUGUUCUCACGCAUUCUGGAAAGCUGUCCUUUAGACAGAUAGAGGACGUGUCGGUAAUGGAAGUAUAGCUCUGCUCUGACAAGCAAUGCCAUAAAAGCGGCAUUGUGGGUCCCUGUGUUUGAUGUCUCCCCAUGUAAGCCCUGUGAGAUUUGCUCUGACUGCAAGUGAAAAAUGAUUGUCCAAAUACCUGAUCCAGCUCUGGAGGGCCCAGCUGGGUUCCUUCACUCUUGUGCUUUGCCAGGCCAGAAUGACAUUUCUGCAGGACAAAUGUCGACUCUGGGCUAUUAGUGCUGCACUCGUGUGAACUAUUAGGGCCAAUUCAAGCCUAUUCUUGCAAAUGACAUUACCUUCAAAUGAUAGUGUGACAUGAAUCUGAGAUGUUCAUGCAAGCACAUAGCCCCUUUCCAAAAAACACCACCACAUGGCAGUGCUGUUUUCAGUCUCCCUCUUCUGACUCCACCCUGCAGAUGCCCCUGUUGUGAAUCUUGCCUUUCCAAAGUCUGGUCCCAUGGGCACCCUGGAAAACCCUGCGUUAUGAGUCUCUCGUGAAGAUUGAACACCAUCUAUCAGUCAAUAUUGUUUGGUGACCUGUGAUGCUUUACUGAUGGGCUGUAAGUCUGACAGCAGUUGGUAGCUUGUAUUCACUAUCUUUAAUUAAUUAACUAAAAUUAGUUCCAUGUUAAGUCCCAUCUAGUGAGCAAUCUGGGUCACAAGGUUUUACUAGCUUGCCAGUGAGCCCUGGAAGUCAAAACAGAGCUUAUUCUUGCUUUGCAGUGAGAUUUGUAGGGACAAAGGUGGAAUGUGUUUCUGUUCAGAGUGAGUCUUUCUCAGCCACAUUUUAUUGUCAUUAAACAUAGGAGUUUGCUCCGAAGAAAAUGUAUGUUGUGUGAGCUGCAAUUCCAACCACAAUGGAAUAGAAGGGCAAUGGCUAAAGCCAGGUAAAGAAAAAGAGUUGCUGAUGGCUCCCUCACAGCUCUCCAGCAUGGCAAAAUGUAACCCUGAGUUCUCCUCCAGGAGAUGUCUGCCCACUUGAGCCUCGAGGUUCACUAGCAUGGAUUUGGCUUGCAGUAUGGCCACAGCCAUGCAAUGCCCCUGGACAUCCAUGAUACAAACUUGAGACCCCUGUUAUGCCUUGUUUUUUUUUCCUAUCCACUUUCUCUUCAUCAGGUGCUGCUCAGAGGCUUUGGUUUUGCUUUUUAUGGGGAAGCCAAACCAAUGUUAUUCAUGCCAUUGAGGUCAUCUUUUACACCAUUUGGGCAUUUCAGUUAGUCUUAAUGCCAGUGAGGUUCUUGCUUAGUGAAGAGAGCAACCAUAGGCUUGCGUGGGCCGUGACUGUAUUUGAGGAUACAAGUCAUCAGGUGGCCUAUGCAGCCCCCUUUGGGACCAUGCUGAUUCCCAUAGCACAGAUGUUCACUUGCACAAGGCCAUAUUCUAAUCAAAAAGAUACAGUGAGCUGAACAAAGAGCUUUUGUUGUCCAUCCUUUGACAAAAUGGAAUAGUUUUAGUUUCCAUCAACUGCACUUUUGCCCCAGAAUUUUGGGUCAUUUCUGGUGACCUCCACAUCCCAGUCAGUUUGCUCUGGGACUGUUGAGCUGUGACCAGACUCUUCCUCCACGUGUGAGCAGCGUGAGGAAGAGGAGAUCUUCAUAGGGAGAAUUUGGCCCUGCUUCUGGGCUCCAAGUCUCUCUUCAGAGAAGAGUCAGGCUGUCAGCUCCAGAAUCUCUGACUGGCUUCUUAGGGAUACAGAAGCUACACCCUGGCUCUUGCAGUUGAUGUGAGAUUUGCGGUAUCCCAGCAGGGCAGCUGGGGAGAUGCCGUAGGCCUCGCAUGCCCAGGGCAGGGUGGAAACCUCUGGGUUUAACACGGCUGGGAGCAGAGCAGUGGGGUAAUUGGAUCACUGCAGUAGAAAACAGCGCUUUAAGAGGUGUCAGAAAUGUCUGCUCAUAACCAAAGGGCAUUGAGAAACAACUGCUCGGUCUCUUCCUGGAAAUUAAAAAUAAAAAGCAAGCCAUGUGAUGACA
rnacentral:lncRNA from 1 species